rnacentral:lncRNA from 1 species
ACCCCACCUAUUGUAGGUAUGGUAACUGGAGCAAAGGUUUUCUCUUCUCUCCUUCUUCUUCCAAUGGUGUUCCUCCUUCGACCAUCUUCACACAAUUUCUUACCUUCCCUCUACUCCCCCACCCAACUAAAGAGAAAACAGGGAUUUUUUCAGAUUCAAGUCAUUUGGUGUAGCAUCUGAGGUCUAUAUUUGGGCAUCUAUAAGUAGAGAUCUUCAUGUUGACUACAGGAAUUGGGAGUGAGAAGCUGGUGUGGAGGUCCUGUGAAGACAAGGGUAAGGGAUUUCCCUCACAUUCUCACUUGCUGUGGUGCCUGUGGAUUAUCUAAGAAAGGGUUAAAU